GACGAACGCUGGCGGCGUGCCUAAUACAUGCAAGUAGAACGCACAGUUUAUACCGUAGCUUGCUCCACCAUAAACUGUGAGUUGCGAACGGGUGAGUAACGCGUAGGUAACCUGCCUGGUAGCGGGGGAUAACUAUUGGAAACGAUAGCUAAUACCGCAUAAUAUUGAUUAUUGCAUGAUAAUUGAUUGAAAGAUGCUAUUGCAUCACUACCAGAUGGACCUGCGUUGUAUUAGCUAGUAGGUGAGGUAACGGCUCACCUAGGCGACGAUACAUAGCCGACCUGCGAGGGUGAUCGGCCAACCUGGGACUGGGACACGGCCCAGAACCCUACGGGAGGCAGCAGUAGGGAAUCUUCGGCAAUGGACGAAAGGCUGACCGAGCAACGCCGCGUGAGUGAAGAAGGUUGUCGGAUCGUAAAGCUCUGUUGUAAGAGAAGAACGGGUGUGAGAGUGGAAAGUUCACACUGUGACGGUAUCUUACCAGAAAGGGACGGCUAACUACGUG
rnacentral:rRNA from 1 species